CUCUUUUUGUUUUAAAUAUAAAGUUUAACCUGCCCGGUGAAAUUUUUAACGGCCGCGGUAUUUUGACCGUGCAAAGGUAGCAUAAUCAUUUGUCUUUUAAUUGAAGGCUUGUAUGAAUGGUUGGAUGAGAUAUAAACUUUUUUUGUUUUAAUAAUAAAGAAUUUUAAUUUUUAGUAAAAAUGCUAAAAUAAAUUAAUAAGACGAGAAGACCCUAUAAAUCUUUAUAAAUAAUUUUGAUUUAAAUUUAUAGAAUAAAAAAUUUUAAUUAAUAUAAUUUAUUUUAUUGGGGUGAUAAAAAAAUUUUUAAAACUUUUUUAUUUUUUUUUUAUAAAUAUUAUUAUUUAUUUUGAUCCAUUUUUAAUGAUUAUUAAAUUAAGUUACUUUAGGGAUAACAGCGUAAUUAUUUUAAAGAGUUCUUAUCGAUAAAAUAGAUUGCGACCUCGAUGUUGAAUUAAGAGAAAAUUUAGGUGUAGAAGUUUAAAAUUUUAAGUCUGUUCGACUUUUAAAUUCUU
rnacentral:rRNA from 1 species